AGUCCUCUAAACAUUUAUUUAGCCGUUAAAAACUUUACAACAUACAACAAUACGACAAGUACGACACCUUUGGAACCACCCAAUUGUGCUGAUACGUUUUGGAAGUCAGCCAAUUUU